GCCUCCUCAUUGAGCUCUUCUCUGUCAGUCUGCGGCAGUUUAUGGAUUCACACGAGGAGAGACAAUUCACAGAGCUAGCAUUAUUUUCCCUCCUGUCUUCAGAGGUGUAUUUAGGUGUUUUGUGAGACAUUA